AGCCAGCCCACCGAGCAGUGUCCCUUAUCUUAUCCACAAGCUCGUCAUCGCUCCGUCUCCAUUGUUCCUCCUCCUGCAAACUCACGCACCACAGCGCCGCAGCUCCCCCUCCUCUCUCUCCAGGCAACGACGGCCAAAAAUAUUCCAGCCGCACCAACGAAUCCGUUCCUCUCAAGAUCCUCCUCGUCCUCCUACAUCAACCCAAGCCUCCACGGCCGCUGUGUAUGCGUUGACAGUGGGUCGCGAGGGCGUGCGUCCGACGCAUCUGGCCCCGCUUCCGGCGAUGAACGCCUCCUUCGCGCCUCCCUCCUGCUGCGCGUGUCCUUCUCCGGCGAGCCUCCGGUCUUCCGCUCGUCUGCCUGCGGCCAUGGCUGUGGUCCCGCCGCCCGCCAUGCCCUUCUUCCCCGAGCUCCCUUGCCGUCUGGAUCUCUCUGCAAAGCCAUCGGGCCUCCAACUCCGUCGCCUGCACAUUUGGCUCCUCUCCUCUUCCCCCACUGUGGCACGGGCCAAAGCUGUUGCCUCCCGUCGUCAGCAGCUCCUCAUCCCCGCGGUGCCGGGAAUCCCACAGCGAUUACUCGCGGCCAGGGCUCCUCUGCAGGGGAGCUGGCCCCGGCCGUCGUCGCUCCAGCAUCGACCGCUCUGAUGUGGUCGUGUAGUCCCGACCAACCCCGUCCACCAGUUGACCACACCCCUUUUUUCUUUAUGUCGCCGACCUUACGCGGAUGGUCCAUCUCCUCACUCUAUCUUCCUCCGCCAUUCGCUGCCACCAGACAACCACCAUCGCCGUCUAGACCAGAGGACGCCAUGGGCGCCUGCCUUGGAGCUCCCCUGCCAUGGACCUGAUCUGGCCGUCAACUCGCCACCCCAUGCGUGCUCCGGAUCCGGCCGAUCCCGCGCCGCUCAUGCCCUGGUGGCCCUGCCGACAUCGUCGCCUAGGAAGACCACCAUGCCCGCUGCAGGAGCUUCGAGCCGGAUCUGGCCCCUCUCCGACCUCCCUCGCCGUCCUUCAUCCGUUCCCGAUAUCCUCCCGGCGCCAGGAGCUCAGGCGAGCGCCGCCACAAGACCCUGCCUCCUCUGCCCCGUAGCCCGCCAUGGAGGUCGCCGCCUCUCCCGUCUCGAUCCGUCUGCGGCCGGAUCCACGGCGGAGCAGCCGAGAUCCGCCGCCCGUUCCGCGACGCCUCGGCCCGCCAAGGCCAGCGCCGAGGCCGACAAGGCGCGCAGGAAGGCCAAGGCCCUCACCAAGCAGCGGGAGGACUUGCGGGCUAGGCUUGCCUACUGCAAGCACGCCCGCGAGCUCACCUCCAUGCCAGCCAAGGCCACCGCUGCGACGCCAGUUUUUUUUUUACGAAUAGUUUCCCAGAUCCACUUAAUAGGGACUGCGGGUUGAUUUCGCGGAAACAGAGGGACUUUUUUGCAAAAGUGACAACGACGUACGACCAGAAGCACUCCGUGCUUUAUUAGUGU
rnacentral:rRNA from 1 species